UGUCAGCCGCCGCGGUAAUACGGGAGUGGCAAGCGUUAUCCGGAAUUAUUGGGCGUAAAGCGUCCGCAGGCGGCCUUUUAAGUCUGUCGUUAAAGCGUGGAGCUUAACUCCAUUUAAGCGAUGGAAACUGGAAGGCUAGAGUGUGGUAGGGGCAGAGGGAAUUCCCGGUGUAGCGGUGAAAUGCGUAGAUAUCGGGAAGAACACCAGUGGCGAAGGCGCUCUGCUGGGCCAUAACUGACGCUCAUGGACGAAAGCCAGGGGAGCGAAAGGGAUUAGAUACCCCUGUAGUCCUGGCCGUAAACGAUGAACACUAGGUGUCGGGGGAAUCGACCCCCUCGGUGUCGUAGCCAACGCGUUAAGUGUUCCGCCUGGGGAGUACGCACGCAAGUGUGAAACUCAAAUAAAUUGACGG
rnacentral:rRNA from 1 species